AUAUAAGCGAUAAAAU
rnacentral:sRNA from 1 species